rnacentral:rRNA from 1 species
CCUUGGCAGUCGACUAGAGUUGAUCCUGGGCUCAGAACGAACGCUGGCGGCGUGCCUAACACAUGCAAGUCGAGCGCGAAUGGAGCAAUCCUAGUAGAGCGGCGCACGGGUGCGUAACACGUGGGUAAUCUGCCCUGAAGCCCGGAAUAACCUGCCGAAAAGGCAAGCUAAUACCGGAUAAGCCUACGGUCCCCUCGGGGCUGAAGGAAAAGGUGGCCUCUGCAUGCAAGCUAUCACUUCAGGAUGAGCCCGCGGCCCAUCAGCUCGUUGGCGGGGUAACGGCCCACCAAGGCAACGACGGGUAGCUGGUCUGAGAGGACGAUCAGCCACACUGGAACUGAGACACGGUCCAGACUCCUACGGGAGGCAGCAGUGGGGAAUUUUGCGCAAUGGGCGAAAGCCUGACGCAGCAACGCCGCGUGUGUGAUGAAGGUCUUCGGAUUGUAAAGCACUUUCGACCGGGACGAAAACCCGCUGGCCAAUAUCCAGCGGCUUGACGGUACCGGGAGAAGAAGCACCGGCUAACUCUGUGCCAGCAGCCGCGGUAA